UACGUAGGGAGCUAGCGUUGUCCGGAUUUAUUGGGCGUAAAGAGCGUGUAGGCGGCCAGGUAGGUCUGCUGUGAAAACUCGAGGCUCAACCUCGAGACGUCGGCGGAAACCAUCUGGCUAGAGUCCGGAAGAGGAGAGUGGAAUUCCUGGUGUAGCGGUGAAAUGCGCAGAUAUCAGGAAGAACACCCGUGGCGAAGGCGGCUCUCUGGGACGGUACUGACGCUGAGACGCGAAAGCGUGGGGAGCGAACAGG
rnacentral:rRNA from 1 species